CUCUUCGGAGAUACUCGAGUGGCGAACGGGUGAGUAACACGUGGGUGAUCUGCCCUGCACUUCGGGAUAAGCCUGGGAAACUGGGUCUAAUACCGGAUAGGACCACGGGAUGCAUGUCUUGUGGUGGAAAGCGCUUUAGCGGUGUGGGAUGAGCCCGCGGCCUAUCAGCUUGUUGGUGGGGUGACGGCCUACCAAGGCGACGACGGGUAGCCGGCCUGAGAGGGUGUCCGGCCACACUGGGACUGAGAUACGGCCCAGACUCCUACGGGAGGCAGCAGUGGGGAAUAUUGCACAAUGGGCGCAAGCCUGAUGCAGCGACGCCGCGUGGGGGAUGACGGCCUUCGGGUUGUAAACCUCUUUCACCAUCGACGAAGGUCCGGGUUCUCUCGGAUUGACGGUAGGUGGAGAAGAAGCACCGGCCAACUACGUGCCAGCAGCCGCGGUAAUACGUAGGGUGCGAGCGUUGUCCGGAAUUACUGGGCGUAAAGAGCUCGUAGGUGGUUUGUCGCGUUGUUCGUGAAAUCUCACGGCUUAACUGUGAGCGUGCGGGCGAUACGGGCAGACUAGAGUACUGCAGGGGAGACUGGAAUUCCUGGUGUAGCGGUGGAAUGCGCAGAUAUCAGGAGGAACACCGGUGGCGAAGGCGGGUCUCUGGGCAGUAACUGACGCUGAGGAGCGAAAGCGUGGGGAGCGAACAGGAUUAGAUACCCUGGUAGUCCACGCCGUAAACGGUGGGUACUAGGUGUGGGUUUCCUUCCUUGGGAUCCGUGCCGUAGCUAACGCAUUA
rnacentral:rRNA from 1 species